GAGAUCCAUUUACAAAACAAAGCCUCACAAUUGCUAUUAACCCUUUACGACUGCUGAGAGGCCAGACAAUUGUUUCAAAUAAAGGCAGGUGAGCGAGAUGCUAAUCAACCAGCUUGAGACCACGGAAGCUGAUGCAAAUAAUCAAAUCCAAAUUUGUCCAGAGGGAAACACACUCAACUUUGAAGUAGGAGAGGAGGAAAUUGUCACGUCGAAGCCAUCGGAGACAGCCUUCCUGUAACAACGAAACCCCCCAGGGAGACGGUUGCUGAUUUCCUCCUAGUCUGCUUGGCAUCUCACUGACAGGGCAAAUGUAAUUAGAAGGAACCAAAUGCGAACAAUGCCACUUCCUUACUUUUAUAAUCCAGACAGGACUUUUUUUAAAAAGAAAAAGAAAAAAAAAGAAGCACACCACAUUUUAUUUAAAUUAGAACGGAGCAUCGUGAAGCCAAAAGCAGCAUGCUAAAAGCUUAUUCGUAACAGCUGCCUGUAAAUCCACAUUUCAAAUGCUUCUCGUCUCUUCAAGUGGCUUUCUGUCAGAGACCAACUCUCCACUCCGUAGAGCAGGAUAAAAAAGAGAGAUCAAUGGCUUUUUAUUAUUACUCUACCGUUUCUACUGACAAACAUUUAAUUAUAGGUGAGAAUAUUUUUCAUCUACUUUUUGAUUACUAUAUGCUUUGUAACAUUUCCGUUCGUUCCUUUAUUCGUAAACCAUUUGGGGAAUUCCUUAAAUUAAUUCAGGACUAAAAUCACCAUUUUUCACUCUAGUUUGUUAUCUCCGAUGUGUAGGUCUGUUAAUUCUAUUACAGGGCAAUUAACCGAUCUCGGGGAAUUGUUAGCAUUAUUUAUUGAUUGAUUUUACCAAUGGACUAAUUUAUAACCUGGAUUGCUUAUUACAUUUGCACCUUACAAUACCUUGGGGGUGGAGUUUGUGGGAAGCUUAGAAGUAAAGGUGAACUAAGAAAAAGGCAUAUGUUAAAAAGAGUAACUCAGCAACCCAAAUCCCACAUGUACUAUAAGA